rnacentral:rRNA from 16 species
ACGGUGGUCAUGGAAGUCGAAAUCCGCUAAGGAGUGUGUAACAACUCN